GCUCAGGUGGUGGAAUUGGUAGACACGCAUGCUUGAGGUGCAUGUGCCGAGAGGUGUAGGGGUUCGAGUCCCCUCUUGAGCACCA
rnacentral:tRNA from 1 species